ensembl:snRNA U6 U6 spliceosomal RNA
GUGUUUGCUUCAGCAGCACAUACAAUAAAACUGGAAGGAUACAGAGAAGACGAGAAUGGACCCUGGACAAGAAUGGCAUGCAAAUUCACGAAGCAUUUCGUAUUCUU